GUCUAGCUAGCUAGCUACUAAAGUCUAGCUAGCCUAGAUCCUUUAUUCUCUUAGUAGCUAGACCUGGCUGUCUAACAUCUCUUAAGUCAGUGAGUCUACAUGCAGAUGCAUAAGUAACAAGGAUGUGUAGGUGGGUGGUGGUGACUUGGAGAUAGUACGUUGUCCACUGCAGGAGGCAUGCAGGAGAGACAGUAUUAUGAACACACGCCUAGUUCUGGCCACCAUUGACAAGUGGUGGAGCUCCUCUCCCUCACAAAGACCAACCACACAACAACUCAAGGAGACAUUGCAAACAUCACUAUUACCAGCCAUUAUUUUUUAUUAAGUGUCAGUUGACAAGAACAGAUAAACGGUGUACAUGCAAAUGACUGCCUAUAUAUAGGAAGUAUAACA